UACAGAGGGGGCAAGCGUUGUUCGGAAUUACUGGGCGUAAAGGGCGCGUAGGUGGCCUUCUAAGUCGAACGUGAAAUCCCUGGGCUCAACCCAGGAACUGCGUCCGAUACUGGAAGGCUUGAAUCCGGGAGAGGGAUGCGGAAUUCCAGGUGUAGCGGUGAAAUGCGUAGAUAUCUGGAGGAACACCGGUGGCGAAGGCGGCGUCCUGGACCAACACUGACACUGAUGAGCGAAAGCCAGGGGAGCAAACGGG
rnacentral:rRNA from 1 species